GACGAACGCUGGCGGCGUGCCUAAUACAUGCAAGUCGAGCGAUGAAGAUUGGUGCUUGCACCAAUUUGAAGAGCAGCGAACGGGUGAGUAACGCGUGGGUAAUCUGCCUUUGAGCGGGGGACAACAUUUGGAAACGAAUGCUAAUACCGCAUAACAACUUUAAACAUAAGUUUUAAGUUUGAAAGAUGCAAUUGCAUCACUCAAAGAUGAUCCCGCGUUGUAUUAGCUAGUUGGUGAGGUAAAGGCUCACCAAGGCGAAGAUACAUAGCCGACCUGAGAGGGUGAUCGGCCACAUUGGGACUGGGACACGGCCCAAACUCCUACGGGAGGCAGCAGUAGGGAAUCUUCGGCAAUGGACGAAAGUCUGACCGAGCAACGCCGCGUGAGUGAAGAAGGUUGUCGGAUCGUAAAACUCUGUUGGUAGAGAAGAACGUUGGUGAGAGUGGAAAGCUCAUCAAGUGACGGUAACUACCCAGAAAGGGACGGCUAACUACGUG
rnacentral:rRNA from 1 species